CGCGGUUUGCGCGCUCAGUGGGCGCUGUGUCGCCGGCGGGGCCGUUUGUGCUGUGGGUCUGCGCACAGCGCCUGCCGCCGCCUUACAGUCUGUUUUAUUGUGUGCGCGGCUCCCGUCUUGCCUGGGUCAGCGGCUCCCGGGGCGCGUCUCUUCCCCGUCUUUCCUCCUUGAGCGCUUCCGCAGAGUGAUUUGUCCGCGCCCCUUGUCUGCUGAGGGGGGGCGUCCCCCCGGCCCGCGCCCCUUUUCUCCCCGCUCCUGGCCGGGGGCUUGCGGCGCUUCCUUCUGGAUGCGUCCCCGCAGCCCCGGGCGGGAGGCGGCCGGGGGGAAGCGCUGCCUCCGAGGAUUUACCGCUGCCUGGGACUCGGACCCGCUCCUUCCCCGCGGGCGCACCCGGCGCCCCGGCUCCGCUGCCGCUCCGGGCCGCUGCCAUGGACGAGAAGUACCUGCCCGAGCUGAUGGCGGAGAAGGACUCGCUGGACCCGUCCUUCACCCACGCCUUGCGGCUGGUCAACCAAGAAAUUGAAAAAUUCCAAAAAGGGGAAGGAAAGGAAGAAGAAAAGUAUAUUGAUGUAGUCAUCAAUAAGAAUAUGAAGUUGGGACAAAAAGUUCUGAUUCCAGUAAAACAAUUCCCUAAGUUCAACUUCGUGGGAAAACUUUUGGGUCCACGUGGCAAUUCUCUAAAGCGUUUACAGGAAGAAACACUGACAAAAAUGUCUAUUUUGGGAAAAGGUUCUAUGAGGGACAAGACAAAGGAGGAAGAGUUGAGGAAAAGUGGAGAGGCAAAGUAUUUCCACCUAAAUGAUGACCUGCAUGUUUUAAUUGAAGUAUUUGCUCCACCUGCAGAAGCAUAUGCCAGAAUGGGACAUGCAUUGGAAGAAAUUAAGAAGUUCCUCAUUCCUGACUACAAUGAUGAAAUCAGACAGGCACAACUUCAAGAAUUAACAUAUUUAAAUGGUGGCUCAGAAAGUGCAGAAGUUCCAGUUGUCCGUGGAAAAUCAUCGAUUCGAGCAAGAGGAGUACCUGUUCCUGCUUUGUCCAGGGGCCGUGGGGGAGUGCCCCCACCACCAGCAGGAGUGCCCAGAGGGGCACCAGCUCCCAGGGGAGUCCCUCCCAGCAGAGGACCAGUCAGUCGGAGCCGGGGACUUCUGGCACCCAGAGCACGAGGAGUUCCUCCCCCGGCAGGGUACCGGCCCCUGCCGCCGCCCCCGGCACAGGAGACCUACGGGGAAUAUGAGUAUGAUGAUGGCUAUGGAGCUGCUUAUGAUGAGCAAAGCUAUGAUUCCUAUGAUAACAGCUAUAGCACUCAAGCACAAAGUGGAGCAGAUUACUACGACUAUGGCCACGGACUGAGUGAAGACACCUACGACUCCUAUGGGCAAGAAGAAUGGACCAACUCACGACACAAGACACCUUCUGCAAGGACAACAAAAGGAGUCUACAGAGACCAGCCAUAUGCCAGAUACUGAUUGUACUGUCUGAUGUUGUGAAAUAUCCAAUCUCCACCAGUCCUGUAUACUGUUCAAAGAAACUCACCUCCUUGGACAGCCAAGAGAACAAAAACCCUAAUCUUCUGAUGCUUUGGAACUUCUGCCAUGUUAAUUAUGGACUGCUUAGAGCACUGUACUUACCUUGUAUGCUCAGACACUGACGAGAACGAGUAUGAGAAUCCUGCUCAGCAUUUCUUGUAUGAAAGCCUUAAAGUGUGAUACAGCAUACACUUUUUAAAAAUAAUUGUAUAUUGAAAUUCUUAACUGUAUAGUGAUGCAACAAUGUUUUAUUUGGAGCUCAAUAAAGAAUUUCCAUCUAAGUUCCUGUUACAAAGCAAUAAUGUGACCUCCUUUUCUUUAGUGACUCUUUUUAGCCUUAUGCAGCAAGUGUGAGAGAGUGUGUGAAGUCUCAUGACUAGAACUUAAAUGCUUCUGGAAAUAGCUUGUCUAAUGUAUGGACAACAUGGAUAAGUUAAAAUGAAGAUUAGUGUUUUCUGCUGAAGCUUUUUUUAAUAGCUAAUUGUAAACAAGUCUGCUCCAGACAAGACUCUUGGGUAGAUAUAAUGCUCCAACUUCCAUUUCCUUCAAAAACUUGUAUAACAAGAAGUGUUUAAUCCCUAUCAAUUAUAUUAUGCUGCUUAUUCUCUUUCACUUGGUGUUUGAUGCUUAGAAAUCUUUUCUCUAAUACACAGUCACAGGUUUUCUAGUAGUAGAGUCUUGGAUGAGAAUUUUACACCUUGAUAAAUCUUGUAUCCAGCAAUCAUGUUUCCUCAAUGCUUUCUGUUUUAUAUUAAUUGUGAUUGUGAUAAUUUGUAGCAGAAAUAAAGUUCUGGUAAUUUA